rnacentral:lncRNA from 1 species
GAGAAAAGUUGUGAAUUGUGAAAGUGGAUUUGAGUGGUUUGAGAUUUGAGGUAAGAGACAUGUUAUUUGUUCACUUGAACCCAGAAGUGUUGGAAGGUCAUUUGUUUCAGAAGCUCCAGUGGCAGAUCCCAAGGUGUGACAGAUACAUAGAUACAGAGAAACUCAUAUGAAACGGAGAUAUCACAGAGUCUAAGAUCCAAACCUGAAAAAAGUCUCCACU